CCGGUUGAAACCCCGGCCGCGCGAGCGCAUAUCGAUCGGGCCGCCUCGGCGGCUAUGGCGAUAGAGCGGCGCGUGGCAUAGACGCAGCGGACCCGGGGGCAGUACCCGGCGGCUCCACCAUCGCCCCUCGACGAAGGCGAGGGGCGGCGUUGGGGCCGAACUAGGAUCGACGUGCGUAAUAAAGACGCGUUCGUUCGCCCGGCCUGAAUGCGCCGUAAAACCGUUCAAAAACCCACAAAUGCCAACGACAACGAGGCAUUCGCGAUUGCUGCGUAACUGAGCCCUAACGGGUAACGUUACAAAGCCUGAGCGCGGCCGGGCCCGCCGGGCAACAGAAGGGACUCCA
rnacentral:tmRNA from 1 species